GUGCUCACUUUGGCAACACAUAUACUAAAAUUGAAAAGAUACAAAGAAGAUUAGCAUGACCUCUGUGCAAGGAUGACAUGCAAAUUUGUGAAGUGUUGCAUUUAAAA
ensembl:snRNA U6 U6 spliceosomal RNA